UACGUAGGGGGCAAGCGUUGUCCGGAUUUAUUGGGCGUAAAGAGCGUGUAGGCGGUUUGGUAGGUCCGUUGUGAAAACUCGAGGCUCAACCUCGAGACGCCGAUGGAAACCAUCAGACUAGAGUCCGGAAGAGGAGAGUGGAAUUCCUGGUGUAGCGGUGAAAUUCGUAGAUAUCGGGAGGAACACCGGUGGCGAAGGCGGCGAUCUGGGUAGAUACUGACGCUGAGGUGCGAAAGCGUGGGGAGCAAACAGG
rnacentral:rRNA from 1 species